rnacentral:misc_RNA from 1 species
GAUGAAGAACGUAGCGAAAUGCGAUAAGUAAUGUGAAUUGCAGAAUUCAGUGAAUCAUCGAAUCUUUGAACGCACCUUGCGCCCUUUGGACUUCUGAAGGGCAUGCCUGUUUGAGUAUCAUGAACACCUCAACUCCUUAUGGUCUUCCAUGAUGAGCUUGGACUUUGGGGGUUUUGCUGGCCUACAGUCAGCUCCUCUAAAAUAAAUCAGCUUACCGGUGUUUGGUGGGUAUCAUGGGUGUGAUAACUAUCUACGCUCGUGGUUUUCCACCAGGUAACCUUCAGCAGUGGAGGUUCACUGGAGCUCAUAGAUGUCUCUCCUCAGCGAGGACAGCCCUUUGAAUGUUUGAUCUCAAAUCAGGUAGGACUACCCGCUGAACUUAAGCAUAUCAAAAGCGGAGGA